UCCGUGAUAGCUCAGUGGUAGAGCAUUGCUUUGACGUAGCAGAGGUCGUAAGUUCGAUACUUACUCGCGGAACCA
rnacentral:tRNA from 1 species